rnacentral:rRNA from 1 species
UACAGAGGGUGCAAACGUUGUUCGGAAUUACUGGGCAUAAAGCGUGCGUAGGCGGCCUCGUAAGUGUCUGAUGAAAUCCCACGGCUUACCCGUGGAACUGUCAGGCAUACUGCGAGGCUAGAGGAUGGUAGAGGAGAGCGGAACUCUUGGUGGAGCGGUGAAAUGCGUAGAUAUCAAGAGGAACACCGGUGGCGAAGGCGGCUCUCUGGUCCAUAACUGACGCUGAGGUACGAAAGCCAGGGGAGCAAACGGG